AGUCGUAACAAGGUUUCCGUAGGUGAACCUGCGGAAGGAUCAUUAAUGAAUUCUAGGACGUUCUUUUUAGAAGUCCGACCCUUUCAUUUUCUUACACUGUGCACACACUUCUUUUUUACACACACUUUUAACACAUUAGUAUAAGAAUGUAAUAGUCUCUUAAUUGAGCAUAAAUAAAAACAAAACUUUCAGCAACGGAUCUCUUGGCUCUCGCAUCGAUGAAGAACGCAGCGAAUUGCGAUAAGUAAUGUGAAUUGCAGAAUUCAGUGAAUCAUCGAAUCUUUGAACGCACCUUGCACUCUUUGGUAUUCCGAAGAGUAUGUCUGUUUGAGUGUCAUGAAACUCUCAACCCCCCUAUUUUGUAAUGAGAUGGGCGUGGGCUUGGAUUAUGGCUGUCUGUCGGUGUAAUUGCCGGCUCAGCUGAAAUACACGAGCAACCCUAUUGAAAUAGACGGUUUGACUUGGCGUAAUAAUUAUUUCGCUAAGGACGUCUUCUUCAAAUAUAAGAGGUGCUUCUAAUGCGCUUUUUAAAGCAACUUAAGCUUUAGACCUCAAAUCAGUCAGGACUACCCGCUGAACUUAAGCAUAUCAAUAGUAAAAGUCG
rnacentral:rRNA from 1 species